rnacentral:rRNA from 1 species
UACGUAGGGUGCGAGCGUUAAUCGGAAUUACUGGGCGUAAAGUGUGCGCAGGCGGCUUCGCAAGUCGAGUGUGAAAUCCCCGAGCUUAACUUGGGAAUUGCGCUCGAAACUACGGAGCUGGAGUGUGGCAGAGGAAGGUGGAAUUCCACGUGUAGCGGUGAAAUGCGUAGAGAUGUGGAGGAACACCGGUGGCGAAGGCGGCCUGCUGGGCAGUAGCUGACACUGAGGCGCGACAGCGUGGGGAGCAAACAGG